UGUUUUUCAUUGCAUGGCACAGAUCAC
rnacentral:piRNA from 1 species